AGAGUUUGAUCAUGGCUCAGAUUGAACGCUGGCGGCAGGCCUAACACAUGCAAGUCGAGCGGUAGCACAGAGAGCUUGCUCUCGGGUGACGAGCGGCGGACGGGUGAGUAAUGUCUGGGAAACUGCCUGAUGGAGGGGGAUAACUACUGGAAACGGUAGCUAAUACCGCAUAAUGUCGCAAGACCAAAGUGGGGGACCUUCGGGCCUCAUGCCAUCAGAUGUGCCCAGAUGGGAUUAGCUAGUAGGUGGGGUAACGGCUCACCUAGGCGACGAUCCCUAGCUGGUCUGAGAGGAUGACCAGCCACACUGGAACUGAGACACGGUCCAGACUCCUACGGGAGGCAGCAGUGGGGAAUAUUGCACAAUGGGCGCAAGCCUGAUGCAGCCAUGCCGCGUGUGUGAAGAAGGCCUUCGGGUUGUAAAGCACUUUCAGCGGGGAGGAAGGCGUUAAGGUUAAUAACCUUGGCGAUUGACGUUACCCGCAGAAGAAGCACCGGCUAACUCCGUGCCAGCAGCCGCGGUAAUACGGAGGGUGCAAGCGUUAAUCGGAAUUACUGGGCGUAAAGCGCACGCAGGCGGUCUGUCAAGUCGGAUGUGAAAUCCCCGGGCUCAACCUGGGAACUGCAUUCGAAACUGGCAGGCUAGAGUCUUGUAGAGGGGGGUAGAAUUCCAGGUGUAGCGGUGAAAUGCGUAGAGAUCUGGAGGAAUACCGGUGGCGAAGGCGGCCCCCUGGACAAAGACUGACGCUCAGGUGCGAAAGCGUGGGGAGCAAACAGGAUUAGAUACCCUGGUAGUCCACGCCGUAAACGAUGUCGAUUUGGAGGUUGUGCCCUUGAGGCGUGGCUUCCGGAGCUAACGCGUUAAAUCGACCGCCUGGGGAGUACGGCCGCAAGGUUAAAACUCAAAUGAAUUGACGGGGGCCCGCACAAGCGGUGGAGCAUGUGGUUUAAUUCGAUGCAACGCGAAGAACCUUACCUGGUCUUGACAUCCACAGAACUUUCCAGAGAUGGAUUGGUGCCUUCGGGAACUGUGAGACAGGUGCUGCAUGGCUGUCGUCAGCUCGUGUUGUGAAAUGUUGGGUUAAGUCCCGCAACGAGCGCAACCCUUAUCCUUUGUUGCCAGCGGUCAGGCCGGGAACUCAAAGGAGACUGCCAGUGAUAAACUGGAGGAAGGUGGGGAUGACGUCAAGUCAUCAUGGCCCUUACGACCAGGGCUACACACGUGCUACAAUGGCAUAUACAAAGAGAAGCGACCUCGCGAGAGCAAGCGGACCUCAUAAAGUAUGUCGUAGUCCGGAUUGGAGUCUGCAACUCGACUCCAUGAAGUCGGAAUCGCUAGUAAUCGUAGAUCAGAAUGCUACGGUGAAUACGUUCCCGGGCCUUGUACACACCGCCCGUCACACCAUGGGAGUGGGUUGCAAAAGAAGUAGGUAGCUUAACCUUCGGGAGGGCGCUUACCACUUUGUGAUUCAUGACUGGGGUGAAGUCGUAACAAGGUAACCGUAGGGGAACCUGCGGUUGGAUCACCU
rnacentral:rRNA from 1 species